rnacentral:rRNA from 1 species
UACGAAGGGUGCAAACGUUGCUCGGAAUUAUUGGGCGUAAAGCGCACGUAGGCGGCUUAGCAAGUCGGAAGUGAAAUCCCUCGGCUCAACCAAGGAAGUGCUUUCGAAACUGCUGAGCUUGAGUACUUAAGAGGAUCGCGGAAUUCCCGGUGUAGAGGUGAAAUUCGUAGAUAUUCGCAAGAACACCAGUGGCGAAGGCGGCUCACUGGCCCGAUACUGACGCUGAGGCACGAAAGCGUGGGGAGCAAACAGG